AUUGUUUACUCUGAAACAGCCAAGCAAUGGACCAUUUCUCCCAAGUUGAGCUCUAUUUUAAGGUACUUUUCAUCGUGAAAGUACAAUUAAAAUCAUAUCUAUUUCUGUAAUAUAUCUCCAUUCUAUCAAGUGAGACCAAAAAAAAGAGAAUACAGCCAUAAAAACCAUCCGAAAUUACCGCAAAGGGGUGGCUAAUUGCUGAGAAGUGAGCUCCAUUAUUUAUGCUUAGAUUUCUUUCAUUUUUGGUGUAUGUUAAGCAUCUUUCCAUCAUACAUUGCCAAAGUUUCAAUAAGAUAGUCCAACAAACAAAUGAGAUACAAUUCCCGAGAUCAAAAGCAAGAGUCCCUCACCAGUGUCGAGGAACCUGCCUUGAGGUCUGCUCGCUUGUGGAAAUUUUGCUCACGUAUGGAAGCAAAAAGUCGACCCAUCGACUGCUCGUAUUUGGAGAAACUCGCACGUGGACACGCUCGCAAGUAGAGGUUCCACUGUAACUACAGACAAAUAUCUAACUCUCCUUUGCUCUCUGAAAUCUUCGAAAAAAUAAUCCAUAAACAAAUCUACACCUUCCUCCUAUCCCAUAACAUACUGAACCUUUGCCAGUUUGGGUUUAGGCCUGAAUAAAAGCACAAAUGAUCAAUUAUUCAGAUGCUCGAAUUACAGUGGACCCCCGCAUAACGAUAUUAUUUCAAUCCAGAAGUCUGUUUGGGUGCCGUUAUAGACCGAAUUUGUUCCCAUAAGAAAUAUUGUGAAUUAGAUUAGUCCAUUUCAGACCCCUAAAAAUACACCUACAAAAGCACUUACAAAAAUAAACUUACAUAAUUGGUCGAGUUGGGAGCUGAUCAUUAUCCGGGGGUCCACUGUACUACAUACAGCAACUGAAAAAAAUAAAUAUCCUCUGUGGCUCUUCAUAGACCUACGGAAAGCAUUUGAUACCGUAGACCACAAUACCAUGCACCUAAAACUAGAGCAUUAUGGGGUCAGAGGACACUCUCUCACUUACAUAAAAUCUUAUCUUAGUGGAAGACAUUUGUAUGUAUUCAUAAAUGGCAUGACUUCCAGUACUCAGCCUGUAGUUGUAUUUAUUGUUUGUGGUUCAUGUAUAUUUGUCCUAGGUCCUCUACUCUUUCUUAUUUACAUCAAUGACCUCCCAAAUGCACAUCCUGUACCUUUAUAAAGUUGCUUGACAAGGUACAUCCUGUACCAUUAUACUGACAAAGGUACAUCCUGGGCCACUAUAAAAGUACACGAUGAAACAAAUGCUCGCUAAAUAUUUCCUUUCCAAAUUGUUGAUCAGUUACGAAUUUUUGUCAUUAUUGUUUAGUAUUUUAGUUGACAAAUAAGUGUUUUCUAAUACGUAGAGGUUUUAUGUACCAGUAAAUGUAAGUUAGUGUACUUUAGGAUAAACGGUUUUGUAAUUACAUUAUCCUUGUUUUA